GAGAACGUUCGAUGUAACCAAACCUAACGUUCCCAGAACAUUUAAGAAAACUUUCCGAUUAACCAACACACAACCAAAAUACAACCAAACCUAACCUUCAGGGAACGUUCCCGCAACCAAAAACGAACGUUUCCAGAACAUUCUGGGAACCAAAAAUUGUUAGCUGGGAACAUGGGCGGUAGUGUUGGUGGUGGUGGGGGUUGAAAAAACAGCCACCAGAUUAACGCUAUGUCAAUUUGUAGCGACCAAAAAUUGUGUUUCAGGAAUAUCUUUUUGAGGAAUAUUAUCUGUAAACAAACAGGGGUUGUGUUAAUGUGAGUUUAUAUGCGUUUAUUUAUUUUUCUUUUGUUUUGGGAGCUUGCUAGUUAGGCCUAACUGCUAAUAUAGCAUUUUGGCUAUAACGUGUUUGAACCAUACACUUAUAUAGUAAUAUACCUUCGCUGGUUUGAACCACGUUUGAUCAAACCGUGCCUCAAUCUGUGAUCGGAGAAGUGAACGUCAACGCACUGGAAAUGAUCAAGAUGAAGUUAAAUCCUCACCUAAUCUGCAGGCUGCAUCUUGUCCUCUCACCAACAAUGACCGCAGCGCCAUCUUGUGAAAGAAUAAAGAAACUGCUGCCUACGGAACAGGUGCAUACUGAGCAGGUGGGCUCUUACGUAGGAGCCUUGAGAGUUUGGAGCUGGAGUAAAUCAUACUUCACGCUAUUUUAGGAGCUGAGAGAGAUGCAAGACAAAUGGAAAGAGAAACAAAAGAAAACCUGUGUGGGGUGUUGGUGGUGGGACUUGGAAGGAGCAACAGUGAGAGAGAAACAUCCGAUGUGACAGAAAAGAGCAAAGGUUUUGCAGGGCAGACUGCACACAGAGAUGGGCACCUCCUGCUCCCCAUCUGGCCACUGAAGCUCCUCCAGCUGGUGGAGAGAUGACACACAGCACAGGGAGAUACGGUCAGCAACGUCGCAAUAAGCCAGAGUUACCGCUGAAUGUGGAAAAACCAUGUGUAUCGUGAAAAGUACCUGAAUUUUGUGCAUGGCUCAUCAUUCAUAAGUGGCCACUUAUUACUAUAAUAUGCUUCUCAUGA